GAGUUUGAUCAUGGUUCAGGACGAACGCUGGCGGCGUGGAUUAGGCAUGCAAGUCGAACGGUAUGGUGCUUUCGGGCAUCAGAGAGUGGCGAAUGGGUGAGUAACACGUAGGUGAUCUACCCUCAAGACGGGGACAACCCAGGGAAACUUGGGCUAAUACCGGAUGAUAGCAGCAGUGAUGUUGUUUAAAAGAUGGCUUUCGGGCUAUCGUUUGGGGAUGAGCCUGCGUCCUAUUAGCUAGUUGGUGUGGUAAAGGCACACCAAGGCGAUGAUAGGUAGGCGGCCUUAACGGGUGGUCGCCCACACUGGGAUUGAGAUACGGCCCAGACUCCUACGGGAGGCAGCAGUCGAGAAUAGUCUACAAUGGUCGGAAGACUGAUAGUGCGACGCCGCGUGAACGAGGAAUCCCUUCGGGGUGUAAAGUUCUUUUAUAUGUGAGCAGUGGGUUUUACGUUAAUAGCGUGGGAUACAGGGAUAUUAGCAUAUAAAAGAACGGCU
rnacentral:rRNA from 1 species